CAACUUGAGAGUUUGAUCCUGGCUCAGAACGAACGCUGGCGGCAGGCCUAACACAUGCAAGUCGAACGAGAAGCUGGCUUCGGUCAGUGGAGAGUGGCGCACGGGUGAGUAACGCGUGGGAAUUUGCCUUCUGGUACGGGAUAACGUUUGGAAACGGACGCUAAUACCGUAUGAGGUCUACGGAUCAAAGAUUUAUCGCCAGAAGAGAAGCCCGCGUAGGAUUAGGUAGUUGGUGUGGUAAUGGCGCACCAAGCCGACGAUCUUUAGCUGUUCUGAGAGGAAGAUCAGCCACACUGGAACUGAGACACGGUCCAGACUCCUACGGGAGGCAGCAGUGGGGAAUCUUGCACAAUGGGCGAAAGCCUGAUGCAGCCAUGCCGCGUGAGUGAAGAAGGCCUUAG
rnacentral:rRNA from 1 species